AUUGAACGCUGGCGGCAGGCCUAACACAUGCAAGUCGAACGGUAACAGGAAGCAGCUUGCUGCUUCGCUGACGAGUGGCGGACGGGUGAGUAAUGUCUGGGAAACUGCCUGAUGGAGGGGGAUAACUACUAGAAACGGUAGCUAAUACCGCAUAACGUCGCAAGACCAAAGAGGGGGACCUUAGGGCCUCUUGCCAUCGGAUGUGCCCAGAUGGGAUUAGCUAGUAGGUGGGGUAACGGCUCACCUAGGCGACGAUCCCUAGCUGGUCUGAGAGGAUGACCAGCCACACUGGAACUGAGACACGGUCCAGACUCCUACGGGAGGCAGCAGUGGGGAAUAUUGCACAAUGGGCGCAAGCCUGAUGCAGCCAUGCCGCGUGUAUGAAGAAGGCCUUCGGGUUGUAAAGUACUUUCAGCGGGGAGGAAGGGAGUAAAGUUAAUACCUUUGCUCAUUGACGUUACCCGCAGAAGAAGCACCGGCUAACUCCGUG
rnacentral:rRNA from 1 species